rnacentral:lncRNA from 1 species
CACACCUCAAUAAAAGAUUGGUGGCGACUCCCAAUUUUUUUUAAGUCGAUAACUAAUUUUUGUUUUUUUUCCAAAAUAAAAGUUGGUUUCGACAGCUUGGCGACUCCACUAGGGACAAACACGAGAGUCGACCCAAAAAUUGAUUAAUUUCUGUCUUAUGUCGAAAAUUUUUAAAAAUUCAUGAGAUCCUUUUGCAUUCAUUAUUUUCUUGCUUAAUUGAUCUUUGCAUUAUACAUUGCAUGAGUU